rnacentral:lncRNA from 10 species
GAAGGGCUCCCUGUACAAUGGAAGCCCUUCUGCCUUGCUCAAGACUGGAUGUCCCUCUUUUCUAACUUGCCUAAACACCAUCGGCACACAGCACAGUCCUUUGAGUGGGUCUCACACUGGACACAGCAUCGAGGAGCUUCUCCACGGGGAAGUGUGUGUGUGAGAGCCUGCCUGUGUGUCAACACUGUCCAAGACUCGGAGCUGCGACUCGGUCGCGUGGUGCGGAGUCCAGGGCUGAGAAGGCAGCGCACUAAAUAUCUCUGUAUCAGGUGGACCCAGCCGAACUCCGCAGCAGCCCAGGCCAGCGCCCCACCUCCGGGUCACCGGCAUGAUCCGCCUCUCCCCGGGCCCCCGCGGCCCUGGCACCCGAGGUCAGCGGGCCGUGGGUACAGCUCAGCCGCGGACCCUGCUCCGCGAGUGCGGGAGCUUUGGACUUGAACGCGACGUGCUCGCCCGGCUCCCAACAAACUUGCAAUUUCCGCGCGCACCCCUUAAACAGGAACUGUUCCCCAAACCUUGACCCAGCUACCCCGCUGUGCUCUGGCCCGCGGACCUGUGUCCGAACCCGGGCUCGGCUGCCGGAACCGGUUUGAGAAAACAAAAGAGUUGUGGGGCAGUUUUCCCUGUGGGGGGCAGGGGCGCCUCCCAGGUCCCUGCACCCCGACUCCCGGCUGCUCCCCUGGCAACUAAUCCGGAGAAGGGAAGUGGUGCCACGAGCCCCCACUGCCCGGGGAGGGAGGGAGAGAGAAGGGGGAACUGGGAAAUAAACUGAAUUCUCUUACUCUGCCUCCGUUCCUGGACCCCAGACACACCCCCAAAGUAUUCCACGGUUUUCUCUUAUUAUUUUUUUAAACGCCCCCCGGCAAACCUAGGCAGGGAUCCUUAGCCGCGAACAGCAGGAAGGAAAGAAUCCGAGCAAAUCGUGUCACUUUCCGCACAAUCGCGGUGUUUGGCAAGCCCCCGGAGCUACUCCACAAUAUUUACUACCCAAGCGCACGCAGGCUGCAGCGGGCUGCGAGCCGAGCGCGCCCGGGACCGGCCUCCGCCAAGCCGGCCCCGCCGCGGCCCGGCCACCGCCGCUCCCCUCCCAGGAUCAAGCAGCAAGAACACGGUGGAAACAAAAGCAGAGCGUUCACCUUGUUGCAAUAUGUUCAGCAAAACAAGCUUAGACGGAACAGAGUGAGGUGUCUGGGCUCAGGAGUAAAAGAAACACCUUCCUUCCCUCACAUCCGUUUGUGGUUUGUUUAAGAAGAAGAGGAAAAAAAAAAAAAAGAGGGGGGAAAAGCGCUCAACUCUCCCCCAAGCCGCGGCGCGCACCCGUCGGCGCCGAGCGCGCAGCCUGCUCCACCGCCGCCUCUUGGUCCCGCCGCCGCCGCUGCCGCCGCCGCCGGGCAGAGGCCGGGGACCGGAGAAAGGAGGAGCGGAGAAGGAGAAGGAGGAGAGCACGGCCUGGCUGGGACAGAAGCGGUGGGACCCUGGGAGGCCUCCGCUGUGCCCGUGCCGCGCUCCUCGGGACCAGCGCGUCGCACACAAAGGGGCUGCCGAGCCAGAGCCACCAGCGGCCUCAGGGCACCGUGGGGAGCGCGCAGCUAGGGGGCGCUGUGGCGCACCCCGCCCCGCAGCCCCGCCCCCGGCCCUCCCCGGCCCCACCCCACUCCCACCGCCCUCUCCGCGGCCGUCCCCACCCCUAUCUCCGCGACCCCCACUCCUCCUCGGCUGUUCCCCAACCCUGUCACUGUGCUCCCCUCCCUACUCCCGGCCCGUAGUGGAGGUGACUUUCCUGCGCAGCGCCGCUUCUGAGGGCGGAGAACCCACAGGGAGUGCGACCCCUUUGCACGCUGUGAGUGGGCAACUGUCCGAGGGACUCGAGCCGAUCGAAGGGUGAGGACCAGCUCGCCUGGGGGUGGACGGCCUGGAAAAGCCGCCCCUCUUUGGCUUCCCUCUGCCGCCUGCAGCCCGCACCCCUCCGAGAUUCGUGCCCCACUGGACGGUUUGCGAAGGCUGAGGCUGCCUUGGGGACUCACAAAAGACCACAGGGGUGAUUCGAAGUCUGGACGCCCUAUAGGGCUCUUGGCAGUCCACGAAAGACCUGGAGUCCGCCUCCCCAUUUCUCCGGUCGGUGAGUGGCAGGAGGAAAUCGCCAAACAUGUUUUCCCGCUUUGCCUCCCCAACUCGGAAACUUGCAACUUGCCGUGUCCUGGAGGUUGAGACAAUUUGGGGUCUCUUGGCUGCCGUCCAACAGAUUUAUCUCUGAGGGCAGUGUCCUUGGUGAGAGGUCCAAGUAGGUGUGGGCGACAUUGUCCUCCAUCUCAUGAGGGAGCAGCCCUGCACACUAGGGCCCAAAACUCUGCGAAGGAGCUUGGAAGUUCUUCAUCCGUUCCACUUGUUUUGCUACUCCACACACCCUUCUAGGACAUGUUGAUUGCCAACUGCUCUGUGCAGCUUUCCCAUAGCUGUCUGUUCCCGUGCAUUUCGGAGCACCAAGCAAAUACGAGCAGAGAGACCUGGAAAAAAAAAUGAUGAAGACAGUAUUAAUGAUAAAAUUAACAUGGCUGAGUGAAUUGUCAAUGCAAGUUCCUUUACUAACUCUUUGUUAAGUUUUGCUUUGUACUCCUUACAUCCUCUUUCUCUUAAGCCAUUGUUUUAAUUUCUUCUCGUUAUCAUUUUUAAAAGUAACAGAAAUACAGCUUUCUUCCUACCUUCACGAUUGACUUGGUGGAGGUUGGGUUGCAAAGAGGAAGCAGUAAGAAAAAAUAAUUAUUCUAUACAUUCACAAGUCCUUCAAGGCACAAAAUAAAAGUAAGAAAUAGAAAAUAUGUCCUUUCUCCUAAUAAAGGUCUUUAUAAUAAAAUUUAAAUGAAGUUUUGUGUUUCAUAACAGCUUCCCAAAUACUGUUGUAGAUACUAAAAUGUGCCUGUAUGUAUUUCCUUCCACAAUAAUAAUAGUAAUAAUAAACUUUUUUAGGUCCAAAUUAAACAUUUCUCAGCUUAAAUUUCUAUCCUCAAUCCAACAUUUAUUAUAUCAAAACUUGAUUUUUAAAAAUAAAACUUUCUUGGAAUUCAUCAUUGAUGUCUGUUUGAUGGCCUCGUGAACAUCAGGAAGAUGAAAUGAAAUGGUUCAAGACUGGAACAAUACCAUUAUCUGCAUCUUGACUCCUGGGAGAUAAUGAUAUCUCCUGCUUUCCUCUACAGACCUACCAGUUUUCUCUGCUUUAAGGGAAAAUCCAAAUGCAUGAGACCUGUGCAUUCUUCUACAUAAUCAAGAGUCUGGUUUCUUCCAUCGGAGUGUAUGGAGUUAAAGUGGUAUACUGUACAUGGCAUGGUGUGAUAGGUGGGAAUAUGAGCUACUGGGGGAAAAAGUUCUUACUUCUAGCCACUUAUACAAAGAGAGGCCAUCUCAGUGUAAUCUGAAAAAAUGCUCACUUUAUAAUGCUGUAUCCAAGGCCCAUCAAAAACUAAAUGGAUGUAUUUGUACUAAAAGUUGGGGAAAGUUGAAUAUCUAAACCUCUGAGCAAAUCUUUCUUAAUUUAGAAAAUAAAAUAGAGCAUCAUUGUAAUACUUUUCAGUUUCCUGGACAUUCAACUCCA